rnacentral:rRNA from 1 species
GCUGUAAACGAUGCAUACUUGAUGUAGCUGGAAUCAACCCUAGCUGUGUCGAAGCUAACGUGAUAAGUAUGCCGCCUGGGGAGUACAGUCGCAGGGCUGAAACUCAAAAGAAUUGACGGGGACCCGCACAAGCAGUGGAGCAUGUGGUUUAAUUCGAUGCAACGCGAAGAACCUUACCCAGGCUUGACAUGUACCUGAAUGACGUAGAGAUAUGUCAGUCCGCAAGGACAGGUACACAGGUGCUGCAUGGCUGUCGUCAGCUCGUGCCGUGAGGUGUUGGGUUAAGUCCCGCAACGAGCGCAACCCUUAUCGUUAGUUGCCAACACGUGAUGGUGGGAACUCUAACGAGACUGCCCGGGUUAACUGGGAGGAAGGUGAGGAUGACGUCAAGUCCGCAUGGCCCUUACGUCUGGGGCUACACACGUGCUACAAUGGUCGGUACAGAAGGCAGCGAAGCCGCGAGGUGAAGCAAAUCUUAUAAAGCCGAUCCCAGUUCAGAUUGUAGUCUGCAACUCGACUACAUGAAGUUGGAAUUGCUAGUAAUGGCGUGUCAGCUACAACGCCGUGAAUACGUUCCCGGGUCUUGUACACACCGCCCGUCACAUCAUGGGAGUUGGUUUUACCCGAAGAUGUUUACCUAACCGCAAGGGGGGAGAUAUCUAAGGUGAGGCUGAUGACUGGGAUGAAGUCGUAACAAGGUAACCGUA